CCUACGGGGGGCAGCAGUGGGGAAUAUUGCGCAAUGGGCGAAAGCCUGACGCAGCGACGCCGCGUGAGGGAUGAAGGUCCUCGGAUCGUAAAACUCUGUCAGCAGGGAAGAACGGUCACUGUGCUAAUCAGCAGUGAAUUGACGGUACCUGCAAAGGAAGCACCGGCUCACUCCGUGCCAGCAGCCGCGGUAAUACGGAGGGUGCGAGCGUUAAUCGGAAUUACUGGGCGUAAAGCGCUCGUAGGCGGUAGGUCAAGUCAAGGGUGAAUUCCCCGCGCUCAACGUGGGAACUGCCUUUGAAACUGUCAAACUGGAGUGUGGGAGAGGAUAGUGGAAGUCCAGGUGUAGGAGUGAAAUCCGUAGAUAUCUGGAGGAACACCAGGGGCGAAGGCGACUUUCUGGACUGUACCUGACGCUGAGGCGCGAAAGCGUGGGUAGCGAACGGGAUUAGAUACCCCUGUAGUC
rnacentral:rRNA from 1 species